GGUGCAUUGUGGGUCCAAAUUAGCCAACAUGCUAAUCGCUAAAUGCUCUCAUAAAAGACGUGUCGCUGUUUGUUUGUAGACUUUAGGCCCAGACAGCUUCAAUGGAGCUUGUCAGCUACACAGAGUCCACUGUGUUGCACAGCCAUGUUUCUACGGCAGCCCGGGAUGGACAAACCAGACUAUGGCUCUAUGGAGAACCUUCAGCGGGUUCAGACCCAGCAGUAGCCCUCGCUCCGUCACAUGAUUCUCACCUGCCGACGCACGCCGACCCCACAAUCCCCUGAAUCAGUGUUGUGCACGCAAAAGAGCAGUGGCUAGUCUGGCUGUCUGCGCUACAUGCUCCUAUUCUACCCGCCUGUCUGUUGCUUCCUUCUACAACCCCCCACCCCUCCCACCUCGCUCUAGCCACAUUUGGAUGUGACAGAAAGACGCACUGAGUUCACUGUCUUCGCGCGGCAGGCUCAUCAUCAGCAUCUCAAACACAUCCAGUGGCAUCAUCACAUUUACGGGCGUGUCUCGGCGACGUUGUCAUUUUUUUCCCCCUGCGCUCACGGGCUCGUUGAAGAAGAUGAUGAGGAGGAGGAGGAGGAUGAGGGAGGCAGAUAAAUCUCAUUCUCUUUUUCAUCACGCUGACUUCAUUCUUCACGGCCCCUUUGAUGAGACAGGGGAGCAAACCUGGGUGGAGUCUGGAGAUUUACGGGCGGGCAGAAGCGUGUAGGCCAUUAAAGCCCAGCGUCCUGCUAAUGAACAGUCCGGGCAAUCGCACCGAGAGGAGUCCAGUAUGUACAGAGACCAUCGACCCGGCGCCGUCCUCUGCGACGUGUAGGCUCUGGUUUGACCCUGUCGCAUGGAAGGACAACAAGAUUCAUCCUCAUCUUGCAGCCAGAACUUGUGUCGGGUUGCACGACGUUGGAUGUCAGACCCUAUGAACACAUGCUUUUGUGUGCCUGUUUUAAGUUUCAGAGAGGGAGCAGAAAUCCCCCAUUCUGCAAAAUAGCUCUAAAAUCAUCCCUGCGUGGUGUGAAUGAAAGGAACGUGCUUCCCCCGACGCACACACACGCAUUAAUAUCCCCCCCCUCCGCCCCCCCGUAUGGGUAUCGACGUGCAGCCGGCGGCCCCAGCUGUUGCCCGAUGAUGCAGAGCUCCAAACUGUGCGGCGUCUCGUCAUCGGGGUCGUGGCGUCUCAUGGGAGAGUGGAGAUGAGUGCUGUAAUUAGCGGGGGCAACGAGGCCAGCGGCAAGCCGAGUUGUCCCAGUGCCCCCCCCC
ensembl:lncRNA